rnacentral:lncRNA from 1 species
AUUGACUGUGAAGAUGGCACCGAUGAAAAGAAUUGUGCUUCAUGUGCAACUGGACAUUGGCAAUGCAAAAAUCUGAAAUGCAUCAAACAAGGACUUCGCUGUGAUGGCAAAAAAGACUGUGACGAUGGCUCUGAUGAAUUCCAUUGCUUUACAUACAUAAACAACACAAUUCUAGUGUAUCACAAUGGUUCAUAUAAAAAUGUUUGUGAAAACAACUUGAACAGU